CAAAAAAUAGUUUAAUUAAAAUAGUAAUUUUGGAGAUUAUAGAUAAAGAAGUUCUUUUUUUUUGAA
rnacentral:tRNA from 1 species